AACCAUAUUUGUCGUGCAUUGCCAAAAUAAAUAAAAAAACUAAAAGAGAUUAGCCUUUAUCGCCAGCCACCACUCUCUUGUCAUCGUCCAACACAUGAUCGACGACCUAUAACACCUGUCAGCCUUCAUAUCAGCCUAGAAAUAGCUGCAUCUCACUUUACCAUAGAGUUUCAAGAUGCCAUAAUCGCCACAUGCUUCAUCUUUAGCUUAUCUCUAUUGCAAAUCUUUAAAUAUAGACACGUGCGUGUUGACGUUGAUUUACUUGUCACAACUUUUGUCGAGAUCCAAGCCAGGUCGAGUUAAUGUGGAAUCAUUGAAUUGACUCAUUAAGUUGACUCAUUGAGUUGACUUAGUACAGAAUUAUGGAUUUUCUCACCCAAAUAAAUUAUUAGAGUAAAAUCACAAC
rnacentral:lncRNA from 1 species